UACGUAGGCAGCGAGCGUUGUUCGGAAUUACUGGGCGUAAAGAGUGUGUAGGCGGUGUUCUAAGUUCGGUGUGAAAUCUCCUGGCUCAACUGGGAGGGUGCGCCGAAAACUGGGAUGCUCGAGCGUGGGAGAGGAAAGCGGAAUUCCUGGUGUGAGCGGUGAAAUGCGUAGAUAUCAGGAGGAACACCAGCGGUGUAGACGGCUUUCUGGACCAUCGCUGACGCUGAGACACGAAAGCGUGGGUAGCAAACAGG
rnacentral:rRNA from 1 species